CCAUGACAUGUGAGGAUUAUAGGAAAUAUAAGAUGAGAUUUGGGUGGGGACACAACCAAACCAUAUCAGAGGGGUCAGGGUAAACAUUAUUCUGAGGGGCAGGGGAUAGUGACUGAAAAGAACUCCAAAGAGGUGUUCUGAGGUCUGGCAAUAUCCUGUGUCUUGCUCUAGCUGGUGGUUAGUUACAUGGAUGCAUUUAGCAUGUGAAAAUUCAUGGGGCUGUACAUUUGAUAAAUAGGCCCAUGGAAAACAAUCAGUAAAUGAGCUCAAUAGGAAUUUAUAAAUCUCCCUGUAGGAGGAUGCUAAUGUAACACAGCCAAAAUUAUAAUGCCAUUUUGGGGAAGCUUUUGUGGCCUCAAACACCAUUAGGAAACCCACAGGCAAUGGGAAGACACUUGGCUCAAGGCACUGGAAUACCAGAAUCAUGACCCUUUUUGGGACUAGAAGAUCUUGGAAAUCAUAUACGCCAAGCCCCUCAGUUUACAGAUCUGGAAAUGAGGCUCCCAAGCUUCCGCUGUUGCAAAUAUCGUCUGGAAGACAAUGCCUCCAAUCAAUGGAGCUCAGCCCUGGCUGCACGGCAAAACCUCCUGGAGAGCUUUAAAACAUAUUGAUACCCAGGCUCACCCCCAGCCUAAUUAAUUUAUAAUCUCUGGAAAUGAGGCUCCACAUCAAUAGUUCUACCAGCUCCCCAGGUGAGUCUAAUGACUGCAUCAAAUCAUUACAGCACCCAUAUCUUGCUUAAAUUUGUUUCAGAUUACUCCGCCAGACCCCUUGCAAAGCCUGAAGCAAUGGGCCCAGGAGUGGAAGAGCUCGACAACAAUGCAUUUGCCGCUCUCACAGGUGUGGACCUCCCUAGUGGGAUCUGUCCAAGCAGGAUCCGGGAGGCAGCUGUCAAGUUAGGAAAUGAGAUUCCUUGGAGGCGGGCAGGUGACACAAACCAUCUUUCAGUGAGGACCCGCCAGGUGUGAAGCACUAAAUUGUUGGGGUUUGUGAGAGCUCAUCACACUCACUUUUACCCCCGGCCAGUUUGGAACUGAGAAAAAGCUGCUGGAGUCAGAUGGAUAAAGAUGGAAGAUCCCAGCCACGGUACUGGAAAUGCAGAGUGAGAGAAGACGGCUCAGGCAAGGGAGCAAAGGGGCAGCUCAUCCCCUUCUCGGAAACAACUGACCCCCAAAUCUGCAAGCCCAUCCACUGGGAAAGCAUCUGUCCUGUGAAAGUUCUCAGAAUCCAAACAGAGUCACUGAUGUUAAGAAAACUCUCACAAAUAGAGCCAGGGAAGCCAUGAACAGCGGGUUCUAAAACCAUAUGCCUGAUAACAAACAAACAAAAAAACAAAAACCCCCAAAAAAUCACAACCUUGCUCAAAGACCAUUGCAACCUUAUGCAAAAACAAACAAACAAACAAAAAAAACACUUCUGCAAGGACAUCUGUCCAGCAGCUGCCUGUCCAACCUCAGACUGCUAUCACCCUUGCUGUUGAUCUUUGUAGCCAAGCAUAAUUAUAUCAAAAGAAGUAAUCCUCUUCAUUUUUUUCCCUCAAAAAACCUUUGCCUUCCUUUCUCUCCCUGAAUACAGGCAUAGUUUACUAAAAUGUGCAUAUUCCCAUUGCAAUGCUCUCUUCCCAGAUAAUCAUCUUUGCUUUCAGAGAGCCUCUCUCUGUUUUAUGUAGGUGGACGACCCUUACCUCAUAGAAGAACAAGCAGAUGGAGCAGGUUGCACCUGAUCCAUGCACGUUUCCUGCAGUUCCAUGUCCCUGAGAUAUCUAGAAUAGGCGAAUUCCGAGAUUGAAAGUAGAUUAGAGGUUUCCAGGGACUGGGGAGAGGCAGCUGAAAGGGAUUAUUUAAUGAGUUCAGAAUUUCCAUUUGGGAUGAUUAAAAAGUUUUGGAAAUACUAAUGAUGGGUACACAAUAUUAUGAAGGUCGUUAUUGCUAAUAAAUUUGUACACCUAAAAAAUAAUUAAAAUGGAAAAUUUUAUUUUACGUGCAUCUUCCCACACAAAAAAAAGAAAUUCCAAAUAGACUUCUGUUGAUACUCCUUCUCCCCUCCAGCA
rnacentral:lncRNA from 10 species